GUAGUCCACGCCGUAAACGAUGAGUGCUAGCCGUUGGAGCUCAGGCUUCAGUGGCGCAGCUAACGCAUUAAGCACUCCGCCUGGGGAGUACGGCCGCAAGGUUAAAACUCAAAGGAAUUGACGGGGACCCGCACAAGCGGUGGAGCAUGUGGUUUAAUUCGAGGCAACGCGAAGAACCUUACCAGGCCUUGACAUGGGUAGUUUGGAUCGCAGAGAUGCUUUCCUUCAGUUUGGCUGGCUACCACACAGGUGCUGCAUGGCUGUCGUCAGCUCGUGUCGUGAGAUGUUGGGUUAAGUCCCGCAACGAGCGCAACCCUCGUCCUUAGUUGCCAACACGUAAUGGUGGGAACUCUAAGGAAACUGCCGGUGAUAAGCCGGA
rnacentral:rRNA from 1 species